rnacentral:rRNA from 1 species
AACUCGCGAGAGCGCGCCAAUCUCAAAAAGCCAUCCUCAGUUCGGAUUGGAGUCUGCAACUCGACUCCAUGAAGUUGGAAUCGCUAGUAAUCGCGGAUCAGCAUGCCGCGGUGAAUACGUUCCCGGGCCUU